AUUGAGUCUCGAAAGCCACAGGACAGAAGCAUUACAAGAAGUGUCAGUAGACAGAGAAACAAACAACUCUGAGAAAAAAAACACUCCAUAUGAAAAAAGCAACUUGAUUGGGCAGUAGAUAAAACAUUACCUUAUUUGAGAGAUGUAAGUGGCUGUUCUGGGCGUUGGCCUGACUAUAUAAUGGUUGGGGGACCUAUGUUUUAUUCAAAGCUCACAGCAUCACCCAGAUCUUACUUUCAUUCUGUGUGCUACGGUGACCUCCCCAGAAGCUUCUGUUUCUCUCGAGAACUUGCCGACUGACUGAUUUUCUCCACACUUUACAAGUUAGAUAUGGAAUUGAUGGAUGAAGCGGAAAGUGGACUGCCAGAUUUAGCUGGGGCUUUCCUCUCCUCUCUAGAACCCAGUGGAGAACUAAGCAGUGAAUUCCUGGCAAAUCUUUCCAUCAACUUCAGCUCACUGAAGGACAUGCCGAUGGAACAACUGAAAGGGAUCUUGGAUGGUCUUGGUCCAUACAGCAACACCAUUAAUGAAAAUGGUGCACAGCUGAUGAUCCAUAUUAUUUACCAAUUUCAGAAGUUUUUCAAAUGGGUAGAAACAGCAAUGACAACAGUGUCCACUGCAAUCAUAUUUCUCAACAUCAUUCGCUACUUCUACAAGCAGAUUAUUCUGCCAAUACUGCAGAAACCUUUAUAUGUAGAAGGCGGAUUGCACAUCGUGCUGGUGGGUGAGGGCAGCUUCAAUGAUCAGGUUCGCCCUGCUGAUUGGCUCAUACCUGGAAGUUGCAUCACUGACACGAUCCUCUACUCUCCGUGGAACUGCUCCAUCGACGCCAAAGUUGCUUACGGCAUCGCAUGGGGAGACCUUGAGCUCUGUCAUCGACACUUCGAGAACUAUCAGGCACCAAUGCAGCAGCAGCCGCAAGUCCCUGACCACUGGAACUCCAUCAGAGCUCACCCCCGACAACCUGUUCCUGAAAUCAUCCUAGGCCCAAUGAAAAGCACUGCUGAUUGGCUAACACAUUCACUGGCUUCAGAUGAUCAGAAAAGACUGUACUGUACUUACACUCGCUUCAUCAUACCAUAUCCACCAGGAGGUGCUCUUGCUGACUCGCUGCCAGAGAUGCCUUUAUACAAGAUAAUUGGAGUGAUUGAAAUCCUGCUCAAGGCCAUCCCGCCCCACGAAGCCACCAUUCACCUGGCUGCAGAUUUUAAGUAUAGAGGAGAUACACAGCCAGAUGUGGAGAUGUUGAAUGACCAGUACGCCUACACACCUGCCGGCACUGUGAUGACCACACAGAACGUGCAGUUCAAUAAACCAAAGUUUCCCAUGCUCUACGGUCUCUUUCGUUCCAUGUUCCGUCCAGCACCUCCUCAGUAA
rnacentral:lncRNA from 1 species